rnacentral:lncRNA from 1 species
UCUCAAAAGUGCACUUCAGAAUAAAGACUCAAUAAGCCAAGCUUGUAUGAUUCAAAUAAUAAGGAAAGCAAGGAAAGACCUAAGAAGAAAAGAUAGGAAACAACACUAGAUGCAAACUGACCAAAAUGAACAAAUAGAUUGAUUUAGCACACAAAAGUUAAAUUUCGUGUACUAAGUGUAAUUAGAUGUUCAACAAUGUGCAAUUUGUCAAACUAAAUGUAAGGAACCAACAGACAGAAAGACACCAAAUUGACAAACUAAGAAUAAAAAAUUGACAAGACGGAUGUGCUUAACACGAAGUUUUCCCUAAGCAUGCAAUCCUAGGUUAACUGAUAUUAAUAUUGACUCAAUAAAAACAAUUCAAAGCAAGCAAACAAAAUAGACACUUAAAACAGCAAGUAUUAAGUACAACUGUUUUGUGAAAAUACUACCCAAAUUUGCCCUAAACCUAC